rnacentral:lncRNA from 1 species
AGGGCAGUCAAAACUUUUUGCUCAAAAGCCAUAUCUCUUUGGGGUGCUGGAGGAGAGACAUGCUGGAAUUGUGAAUAGUGAGUAGGAGGAUGGUUCGGAUGAACAUUCGGGAAGGGUUGAAAGUUUUAGGAAUAAGGUUGGAAGGUAUUAGGAGUCUGCUGCUUCCAAGAGAAGUUUGGAUGGUUGCGUCACCCCGGGUUGUAAGUGGUAGAAUAUGGAUCAUUAUCCGGUCGGGAUUGUAUUUGAGCAGCAUUAACUUGUUCUCGCAUAAAUUCAGAAAAUUGAGCUGCCGAAGGGCACCCAAAAAUAGGAUGAGACGGGCUAGAACAAAGAGCACACACUCAUGCU